CCUACGGGCGGCAGCAGUGGGGAAUAUUGCACAAUGGGGGAAACCCUGAUGCAGCGACGCCGCGUGGGUGAUGAAGUAUUUCGGUAUGUAAACUCCUAUUAUCAGGGAAGAUAAUGACGGUAUCUGACUAAUAAGCACCGGCUAACUACGUGCCAGCAGCCGCGGUAAUACGGAGGGUGCAAGCGUUAUCCGGAUUUACUGGGUGUAAAGAGCGCGUAGUCGGGAUAGCAAGUCCGAGGUGAAAUCCUAUGGCUUAACCAUGGUACUGCAUUUGAAACUGUUGUGCUUGAGUGUGGGAGGGGUAGGCGGAAUUCUUGGUGUAGGGGUAAAAUGCGUAGAGAUCAAGAGGAACACUCAUGGCGAAGGCGACCUGCUAGAACAUAACUGACGUUGAGGCGCGAAAGCGUGGGGAGCAAACAGGAUUAGAUACCCGAGUAGUC
rnacentral:rRNA from 1 species